rnacentral:lncRNA from 1 species
GACGAAUAGCAACGCGGGCGUGAUCCUCGCGGCCAUCAUCGACGCCGCAGUAGCGGCCGCUAGGGGCGACUCCCUCCCCGCCGUGGCCGGAGCGUCCUCCGCCGGCGCCGAAGCCUCCUCCAAAACGCGCGAGAAUCCAUCCCCAUCGUCGCUGCCGCCCAAGAAGUAGUAGUGCCCACUAGUGUCUGGUCCCGCUCUCCUGCGCACGGAACCAGCCGCCCGCCCUCUUCACCCUGGCCGCGAGUGGAGGGAGGAUGAAGGAGAUAAGGUGAGGUAAAAAAAAAGAUGACAGGUGGGAUCUAUUGCUAACGGUGUUAAAAUGUCAUCCAUUCCAUCCCUCUCAACCCAUUCAACCAAACAAAAGAGGAAUCCAUCCCUUUUAUCCAAACACGAGAUCCAAACACGAGAUAGGUUGAACCUAACUCAUAAAAUCCAUCCCUUUUAUCUAAACACGAGAUAGGUUGAACCUAACCUAUAAAAGUAGGAUAAACCCGAUCCAGAAAAGUGGGAUAAACCAAACCCGUUCCACUCCAUCCAAAACAGCACUUGCUUAUUAAACGCGGGGGAAAGGACACGGCGCAAAUGCCAACAGACUGGGACCCGGGCCCGGGCCCGGGCCUAGCGUACACUGUGGC